rnacentral:rRNA from 1 species
UAUUAAAGUUGUUGCAGUUAAAAAGCUCGUAGUUGGAUCUAGGGACGCGCAUUUCAAGCGCCCGUGCCAUCGGGUCAAACCGGUGGCUGCGUUGGCGUUGCGGGCUCGGUCCGUCGGUGCCCCACAAAGGUUAUCGGCGUGUCAACCGGCCCGCCCGUCCCCUCCUUCUGGAUUCCCGUUCCUGCUAUUGAGUUAGUGGGGACGUCACAGGGGGUCCAUCGUCGACGUUUCAACGCGUCGGCGGUGGAUCUCUGGGGCCCAGAUCGUUUACCGUGAAAAAAUUAGAGUGUUCAAAGCAGGCAGAUUCAAUUUUCUGCCACCGAAUACAUUAGCAUGGGAUAAUGGAAUAGGACCCUGUCCUCCUAUUUUCAGUUGGUUUUGGCAGCGCGAGGACUAGGGUAAUGAUUAAUAGGGAUAGUUGGGGGCAUUAAUAUUUAAUUGUCAGAGGUGAAAUUCUUGGAUUUAUGAAAGAUUAACUUCUGCGAAAGCAUCUGCCAAGGAUGUUUUCAUUAAUCAAGAACGAAAGUUAGGGGAUCGAAGACGAUCAGAUACCGUCGUAGUCUUAACCAUAAACGAUGCCGACCAGCGAUUAGGAGACGUUGAAUACAAAACACCACCAUCGGCGCGGUCGUCCUUGGCGCGUUCGUGUUCACGCACGGGCGCGCGAGGGCGGUUUAGCCCGGUGGCACCGGUGAAUGACUCCCCUAGCAGCUUGUGAGAAAUCAUAAGUCUUUGGGUUCCGGGGGGAGUAUGGUCGCAAGGCUGAAACUUAAAGGAAUUGACGGAAGGGCACCACCAGGAGUGGAGCCUGCGGCUUAAUUUGACUCAACACGGGGAAACUUACCAGGUCCGGACAUAGUAAGGAUUGA